UACGAAGGGGGCUAGCGUUGCUCGGAAUCACUGGGCGUAAAGCGCACGUAGGCGGCUUUCUAAGUCAGGGGUGAAAUCCUGGAGCUCAACUCCAGAACUGCCUUUGAUACUGGAGAGCUUGAGUCCGGAAGAGGUGAGUGGAACUCCGAGUGUAGAGGUGAAAUUCGUAGAUAUUCGGAAGAACACCAGUGGCGAAGGCGGCUCACUGGUCCGGUACUGACGCUGAGGCGCGAAAGCGUGGGGAGCAAACAGG
rnacentral:rRNA from 1 species